AGGAAGUGAUGAUGGGCUGUACAACUUCAAGCCCAUCCCCAGGAGCGUCCCACUUUCUCUGGUGAGCUCCACCUCCCAAGGGUUCCAUAACCUCCAAAAAAAAGUGUCUGCAGCUGGAGAGCAAGUGCUGCAACACGCAAUGCUGCAAGGAUGAGGAUGAGGACGAGGACGCUUCACCUUCAACCUUCUCUCUACAGCACCCAGGGCUUCCUGGAGGAGGGACUGUCUCCUGUGGUGGGUCGUGUUUUCUUAAAGGAAUAGCAUGCAUUAUUUCCAUGCCAUGGACUCUCUUUAAGACUUGCCACACCCACUCCUGGUGAUGAAGUCUGUGUGCCUUCCCUUGAACAUGAGCAGGUCCUGGUGGUAACUGUGCUCAGUAAAAUGAGAAAUAAAGAAGGCUGUAGGACUUUCAAGUUAGGUGAAGAAAAAAAACUAUAGACUCUCUUGAUUUCUGUCUUCCUAGAUGGCUGUUCUAGGAACAUAGUUGCCAUGUUGGGAGGAAAUCUAAAAACAGAGAGAUUGUGCAGGUGUCCCAGUUCACAGGCCCAGCUUGUGGCAAAAUUGACCCCUUCGAAUGCGUAGUUGAGAAAACAUUCAAGAAGACUCCAGGCCCAGAGUCUGACUACAAUGAGACCCUGAAGAAAAACCACCCAGCUGAGCCCAGCCAAGCCUAGAAUCAUGGGGCACGGUCAAAGACAUUGUCACUAUUUGAAGUCACCACGUUUGGGGCAUUCGUUAUACAUCACGGUAUGAGUCUUAGUUUAUAAUGAAGGUUAACCAGGUAGUAGAUAAAUCAAGUUCUAGAUAACAAGGAUGCUACAUACAAAGAAAACUUGCAUGAAAUAGAUCCCUCUGACAUAGAUUGAAGGAAGUUGCAAGGUCUGCAAGAUUAAACAAUACAGAGGCAGGUUCCAUGCUAAAUCAGGGAGUUAUGGAGGGUUUCAAGCAAGGGAAAGACCUCCAGGACUUAGUAAGAAGCCGCAAUAUGGACAAUGGGAUGAAGGAAGUAGAGACUAUUUAUGACCAUCUAUACCAGUGCCAACGUCUUGGGCAAUGAGCAGAUCGGAGGUUAUUCCAUGAGCCUACUCAGGAGAAGGCAGUGCUGGGGUAGUGGGAUUAUGAGUCCUGUGGUAUUUCAAACACACGGUCAGUUCUGUGGCUGGAUGAAUACACGAGGUAAAGAGAAGAGGGGAAGUCUCUUGGGCUUCUGAAUUGCAAGGCGUUGUAGUUUCAUUUGCAUUGCUGUGGUAAAACACCCCCAAAAAGUAGCUUUAAGGAAGGGUGUGUUUAGUUUACAAUUCCAGGUCACAGACCAUCACUGCAGGACCUCAAAGCAGGAACUUGAAAUAACUGGUCACAUUCAUGGUUAAGAGCAGAGAGAGAAGGAAUGCAUAUGUGCCUGUAUGUGCUCAGCUCUCUCUCCCUGGAUGCAGUCUGAGAUGCCCUGCCUAAGGGAUGGAGCCAUCCACAGUGGACUGGACCUUCCCACAUCAGUGAACACAACCAAGACAACUCCGCCACAGACAUGUGCACCAGUCAAUCUGAUUUUGGCAGCCACUCCAUUGAGACUCUCUUCCUAGGUACUGAGGAUUCCGGACUCAGGUCCUCAUGCUGUGCUGCAAGAAUUUACCCACUGAGCCAUCAUCUCAGCCCUCCCCUGGAGAGAACAUCAAAAGUAUCAAUUCCAUUGUAUCCAAUCCCAACCAAAGCCCACUCUCUGGGGAGCAGAGUGUGGCUCAGGCACCUACAGUCUGAAACCUUCCCUAGGCAAUCCACAGCAGGGGCUGCUGCUGGCACUCACCCAACGCUGGUGAUAACUCACUCGACCACAACAAUUUAAACAUGCGUCUCUCCGCUGCUUAAGUCAUUUUAUUUGAGAGUAAUUGGUCCAGCUCUGAAAAGGUCAUCAUGAAUUUGCAGGUUCUGCAUGAAGCCCGGCAGAAACUGUGUCAGGAAGAGGAGGGGGGCACAGAGAAGGGACUGAGAAGUACCUGGUGUGUGUGUGUGUGUGUGUGUGUGUGUGUGUGUGUGUGUGUGUGUGUGUAACUGAAAAUAAGGAGGAGUCCCUCCCACCUUUGGAGUUCCGUCAUGGCAAGAGGCAGCUCUUCUACACCCAGGGAGUUCUGGCCAUGAACACUUGCAAAUGUCCUCAGGUUUCCCAGUGCAACCUCUGCCAGCAUCAAGCAUUCUGUAGGCACAUUCAGGGUUGAAAAUAGCUUCAGCCCUUGCUUUGCUCCGGGCAGACUAGAUUAGAGGGUUAACUCUUUGCCUCCUGGCUGGACUAUGGGAACCCUCUUUCCUUCCUCUCCUUCAGUUUGGGCAUUCGAUAUGAUCAAUUGGAGCUUUCUUCUCCCCUCUUUCUGUGGAGCCGUUUUUACCUUUGCUUUGAUAGCAUGACUAGAAGGAGAAACGGAGGCUGGCCCAGCCCCGGUGAUGCCUCCUGCUCUUGUUAGGAGAUGGGUUACCGGCCUGCUCUCUGCAGGGUUACUCUUUGUGGAUGGUCCUCUUCUUGUAGGUAGGGUAGAAAGGGGCAGGGACCAGGACCUUAAGGAUUUCCAUUCCAAAGUCUGAAUUUGGAAUUUGCUUUGAGCUAGCAUUCAAUCCCCUGACUCGUAAACAUGCAAAUCAGCCAGGUAAUUGGGACACCUGAAGUCCAUGUGAGCCCAAUCUAUCUAAAUAAUUCAGGCCGAUAGUAAAUUACCAGAAACUCAGUGCAGUGGGGUUCGCACACUGGGGAAGGCCUGCCAGUUGCCUUUGUUUCUAAAUGGAGCCCUGUUUUCCUCUUGACUCCUGAUUUUUUUUUUUUUAAACCCACAGCACCAGGCAUCACCUAGAACCAGAGGCAGGGGAGUUGUUGCCUCCUCUGAUGAAAGCCCGGCCUUGAGUCGCCCCAGCUGAGCCCCAUUCUGAAAGCCAUUUGCCAUUAGGGCUUCCUAGAGAACCCAGGUGGCCGUUUGGUUGACCCUGAAGGAGUUUCUUGCUAGAUCGGGGAUGUGGAUUUCAGGUUCACCUGGGAGUGCAGCAAAGACGAUGAUGUCAGAUCUCUAGGGCUGAGAGGCACUCCUGUUGGAAGGUGGAUGAGUGGCUGAGCCUCACUGGGAAAACUGGGUCCUGGAACCCAUUGGGAUCCCUCCUACCAGGAGUGAGUGGCUUUCUAGAUUAUAGCUUUCAGACAGGAGUGUGGAGGGUGCACAGGGAAAGCCGGUGCUCAGCAAUGUUAACCCAACUUGUUUGAGGAAAGACCCACCCAGACUCCAUUUUUAUCUCCCGAACCUUCACCCCCAUUUUCCACUUAUCUAUGGCUGAUGGCGCGAAAACAAGGUCUUUGUUUCUCGGUCUAACGGUCUAACUGGGUACCUGCUGCUGUGGUUCCACCCACUUGAAGACUCACUGGCUUAAGCCUGUGACAUCACAAGUCCGGUCGCUGCGGAAACGGGCAAUGAGGGGUGAUUGGCAGGUACUGCUUUUGUUACUGUUCUCCAGACAGGCACACUGAGGCCCUUGUGUUCUCUCCUCCUCUGGCCAGACUCCAUCCCUGGCGACAGAAUCACGUGACAUCUGAGGCAGGACCAGACAAACAUCCAGCCUCUCUGAGGGACCCAAUGUCAUGAUUCUCACAUGUAGCCAUGUUUGGAAAUCCCUGGCCUGAAUGCCCCUCCUCAUGGUUAUAUAGCAACCCUGCACACGUAUUAGAAGUGCAGGAUGGAGGCCCCAACAACAGUGGGUCUGUAUUUUAAUUAGCCCUGUGUGACAGUUGAGUAUCUCCUCUCCUGGGUGUUGAAAUGUCAUAGAGGACCUGCCUCAUGGAGCCCUGGGCUCAAGGCUUCUUUCUUCCUCUUACCCCACCAGCCUUGGUAUGAGGUAUCAACCCCACAUUGUAUGUUGGACUCAGAAGCCCCUAGGGAAGGAGAGAAGGUUUCACCCUUCUCCAGGACCCACCAUCAACAUACUUCAUCUCCAACCUGCAGAGGAAGGGUCUGGAGAAAACGGAGUAUGGAAGAGGGCAGGAGACUCUUACACGCGUUCUCGCGACCGGCCAGGAAGAACACAACAAACCGGAAUCUUCUGCGGCAAAAGCUUUAUUGCUUACAUCUUCAGGAGCCAGAGAGCAAGAGAGCAAGAGCUCUAUUGCUUACAUCUUUAGGAGCCAGAGCGCAAGAGUGCAAGAGCAAGAGAGCAAGAGUGCAAGCGCUUUAUUGCUUACAUCUUUAGGAGCCAGAGCGCAAGAGAGCAAGAGAGAGAAUGGCGAAACCCCGUCCCUUUUUAAGGAGAAUUAUCCUCCGCCUAGGACGUGAUUAUCCUCCGCCUAGGACCCUGAUUGGCUGCAGCCCAUCGGCCGAGUUGUCGUCACGGGGAAGGCAGAGCACAUGGAGUGGAGAACUACCCUUGGCACAUGUGCAGAUUAUUUGUUUACCACUUAGAACACAGGAUGUCAGCGCCAUCUUGUAACGGCGAAUGUGAGGGCGGCUUCCCACAGGAGACCCAUGGGGGAGUGCCUAUAAACUAGCGAUGGUGGCUCCUGACAUCAGGAACAAGGCAUCUUUAACUGCCAAGUGAGAAAAGAACUGGCAGAGAGAUUAACGUCUACUGAUUCCCAGUUCCCUCCCUGUGACCAACAGUUCACCAUAGCCCUACAUAUGGAAGAAAGACAAGGGAGAUUAGAGCCAAACCCCACCUGGCCAACCCCUGUGGUGAGAAUUUGGGGCUUCUUUUUUAUGUUAUGUGACUAUGUUUUUGUUUCACUCCCAGGUGUGGGAUAAGAGGCUGCUUCACAGCAGGUGACGGUGAUUUGUCUAGUGUACUAGGAGGGGUGUGAUUUUUGCCCAACUGCAGAUAAUUUACACUUGGAAUUCUGGGAACUUUGGAGAGGGUAUAAAUUCAAGAGUCCCCACGUGGGGGUGGGGUGGGGGCAGGGUUCCUGCUCCUGUUGGUUCCUGUUGUGGCUUGUUGGAUGGUUGUGAGCAAAGAGACAAGAAGUUGGAGGUAGUUUGAAGAUUAAGAUUAGACUUGCCCCCAGGAACCCAAUGCCUCUAAGCAUCAGGACGCAGUCUAAAGAGGUCUGUGCCCCCUUUCCAUUCUAAGCUUCUUUCUUUACUACCUAGUAUUGGGGGUUGGAAGGGAUUAGGGUAGAAUAGUGUUGGAAGGGUGGUAGAUAUAAGAACCCAAUAAAGUAGAGAAAAAAAAAAAAGCAAGCCAGCAAACCCCUUGGUCCUGCCCUGUCUGCUCAUUGCCAGGAACUGUAACUAGACUUGAGGGUGGGGUGCUCUUGACUGAAAAUUAAGUCUUGUUUAUCAAAAUGGAAGCAGGCAUCAAGCACGCACAGCUGAGAACAAUGACCACACAGGUGGGCAGUGGCUUCUAUGAACUGGGAACAGCUGGCCUCCUGACUACUGGAGAAAGUGGGAAGAGAGGAUGUCUACUACUUCAUGCAGGGGAGUUGGGUGUCUCCACCAUGGGAAGCUGCCCCAUUAUUGUGUAGGCAUAUCAUGGUAGCCCUAGAGAGCCAGUACAGGAGGUGGUGGCUGAGGCACUGUCGUGACUGUUGUCAUAUAAGUCCUCUGGGGCCUCCUGGUGUGGUGUGUCUGUCAUCUCCAAUUAGCAUCUGUACUGGCUGGUUUUGUGUAUCAACUUGACACAAGCUGGGGUUAUCACAGGGAAAGGAGCUUCAGUUGGGGGAAGUGCCUCCAUGGGAUCCAGCUGUAAGGCAUUUUCUCAAUUAGUGAUCAAGGGGGAAAGGCCCCUUGUAGGUGGGAUCAUCUCUGGACUGGUAGUCUUGGGUUCUAUAAGAGAACAGGCUGAGCAAGCCAGGGGAAGUAAGCCAGUAAAGAACAUCCCUCCUUGGGCUCUACAUCAGCUCCUGCUCCCUAACCUGCCUGAGUUCCAGUCCUGCAUCCUUUGGUGAUCAACAGCAAUGUGGAAAGUGUAAGCUGAAUAAACCCUUUCCUCCUCAA